CCUACGGGAGGCAGCAGUGAGGAAUAUUGGUCAAUGGGCGAGAGCCUGAACCAGCCAAGUCGCGUGAGGGAGUACUGCCCUAUGGGUUGUAAACCUCUUUUGUCGGGGAGCAACAGCCGGACGUGUUCGGCUGUGAGAGUAACCGGAGAAAAAGCAUCGGCUAACUCCGUGCCAGCAGCCGCGGUAAUACGGAGGGUGCGAGCGUUAGCCGGAUUUAUUGGGGUUAAAGGGGGCGUAGGUUGUUUUUUAAGUCAGCGGUGAACGUUUGUGGCUCAACCAGGAAAUUGCCGUUGAAACUGGAAGGCUUGAGUGUGUUUGAGGUAGGCGGAAUGCGUGGUGUAGCGGUGAAAUGCAUAGAUAUCACGCAGAACUCCGAUUGCGAAGGCAGCUUACUGAGCCAUAACUGACACUGAAGCACGAAAGCGUGGGGAUCAAACAGGAUUAGAUACCCGGGUAGUC
rnacentral:rRNA from 1 species